rnacentral:rRNA from 1 species
GACGAACGCUGGCGGCGCGCCUAAUACAUGCAAGUCGGACGGACAGGCCAGGUUUUUCCUCCUGUGUCGUUAUACGCGAGCGGCGGAGGGACGCGUAGAUAGCCUACCUUUUAGACUGGGCUAAGUUAGGGACACCGGAGCUAAUGCCGGAUACUCUAUUGAACCGCAUGGUUCAAUCGGUAGUGGCGGAUUUUCUGUCACUUGUAGAUGAAGCCGCGCCGCAUUAUCUAGUUGUUAAGGGAACGGCUUCCCAAGGCAACGAUGCGUAGCGGACCGGAGGGGGUGAGGGGCGACACUGGAACUGAGACACGGUCACGACCCCUACGGGAGGCAGCAGUAGGGAAUCUGACGCAUUGGGCGAAAGCCUGACGGAGCAACGGCGCGGGAGUGAUGAAGGUCUUCGGAUCGGAAAAGUCUGCUACUAGGGAAGAACAAAUGUGUAAGUAACUAUGCACGUCUUGACGGUACCUAAAGAGAAAGCCACGGCUAACUACGUG